CCUACGGGCGGCUGCAGUGGGGAAUAUUGCACAAUGGGCGCAAGCCUGAUGCAGCCAUGCCGCGUGUGUGAAGAAGGCCUUCGGGUUGUAAAGCACUUUCAGCGGGGAGGAAGGCGGUGAGGUUAAUAACCUCAUCGAUUGACGUUACCCGCAGAAGAAGCACCGGCUAACUCCGUGCCAGCAGCCGCGGUAAUACGGAGGGUGCAAGCGUUAAUCGGAAUUACUGGGCGUAAAGCGCACGCAGGCGGUCUGUCAAGUCGGAUGUGAAAUCCCCGGGCUCAACCUGGGAACUGCAUUCGAAACUGGCAGGCUAGAGUCUUGUAGAGGGGGGUAGAAUUCCAGGUGUAGCGGUGAAAUGCGUAGAGAUCUGGAGGGAUACCGGUGGCGAAGGCGGCCCCCUGGACAAAGACUGACGCUCAGGUGCGAAAGCGUGGGGAGCAAACAGGAUUAGAUACCCCAGUAGUC
rnacentral:rRNA from 1 species